rnacentral:lncRNA from 1 species
AAAACCUUUGACUGUUGCUUCUGGGAACACAGUUUUGUACUCCAAAUACGCUGGUAAUGACUUCAAGGGCAAAGAUGGUUUUGAGUACAUAACCUUGAGGAGUUCAGAUGUCAUGGCUGUACUCUCUUAGGAAUCCAAUUGUAAGACGAACACAAAAUCUCUUAGGAAUCCAAUUGUAAGAUGAACACAAAAUUUUCGCCUUGUUUUGAUUACCAAGUGAUUCCUAACGGGAACUGGGUUUUCAAGCAUCUGGUUGUUGCGUUAGUG